AUUGAACGCUGGCGGCAGGCCUAACACAUGCAAGUCGAACGAGUGGCGGACGGGUGAGUAAUGUCUGGGAAACUGCCUGCUGGAGGGGGAUAACCACUGGAAACGGUAGUUAAUACCGCAUACCAUCAGAUGUGCCAAGGUGGGAUUAGCUAGUUGGUGGGGUAACGGCUCACCAAGGCGACGAUCCCUAGCUGGGCUGGGAGGAUGACCAGCGACACUGGAACUGAGGCACGGUCCAGACGGUUACGGGGGCCAGCAGUGGGGAAUAUUGCACAAUGUGCGCAAGCCUGAUGCAGCCAUGCCGCGUGUAUGAAGAAGGCCUUCGGGUUGUAAAGUACUUUCAGCGGGGAGGCGUUACCCGCAGAAGAAGCACCGGCUAACUCCGUGCCAGCAGCCGCGGUAAUUC
rnacentral:rRNA from 1 species